CCUACGGGUGGCAGCAGUGGGGAAUAUUGGACAAUGGGCGAAAGCCUGAUCCAGCCAUGCCGCGUGUGUGAAGAAGGCCUUCGGGUUGUAAAGCACUUUCAGUGGGGAAGAAAGCCUUGGGGCUAAUACCCUCGAGGAAGGACAUCACCCACAGAAGAAGCACCGGCUAACUCCGUGCCAGCAGCCGCGGUAAUACGGAGGGUGCGAGCGUUAAUCGGAAUUACUGGGCGUAAAGCGCGCGUAGGCGGUCUGAUAAGCCGGUUGUGAAAGCCCCGGGCUCAACCUGGGAACGGCAUCCGGAACUGUCAGGCUAGAGUGCAGGAGAGGAAGGUAGAAUUCCCGGUGUAGCGGUGAAAUGCGUAGAGAUCGGGAGGAAUACCAGUGGCGAAGGCGGCCUUCUGGACUGACACUGACGCUGAGGUGCGAAAGCGUGGGUAGCAAACAGGAUUAGAUACCCGUGAGUC
rnacentral:rRNA from 1 species